GAAAAAAUUUUCUAUAAUUUUUAUUUGUACGAUAUAUUAUACUGGGUAUCUUUUAUUGCAGUACAUUUAAAAAUAGUAAUGUAAAUCAUUAAAUAUAAUGUAAAUCAUCAAACAAGUGUUAAUCGACACGAUUCGCAGCUAACUCAAUAAUUUGUAAAACUUCAACAGCCACUUGGUGGCAACAAGCAUGACGUAUAUCCAUGACGACAAAAUUUUAGUUUCCGGUCGAUAGCGAUAUAUUUUCAAGUGUUCAUUCUUGCCUGCUGUAGGGCGGUUCAGAGCCAAGCUGGUUGAAAAUCAAGUAAAACUCAAUGCAGGAGGGCUUGAAGCAAAUUUUCUAUAUCUUCAACUUUCUCAAACAUUAUGUAUGACAAUCUAAAUUGAAAACUUGACGUGAGGCUUGAUUGAUCUGUAACUAGACUCACGACUUGGUGUUUACUGACUUCAAACUCAUUUGUAUCUUUGUUGAGAACUUCAAAGAAUGAAAAGUUUCUGUGACUGAACACAUGUACACAUUGCCCAAUUACAAAUUCAGCAUGUAGAUAAAAGAGUCAUAUUGAACAUUCCAUUCCUACAAUAAUUUCAGGCUGAAUGUCUAAUGCCCUUGCAGCUCAUACCUCUUCUCCUUCAACACAACACAGACAUUCAGUAACAACUCAAAAAGGGAUUAGAUAUUGAAAGAGUUAACUCUGAAAACAGCGAAACUAAUCAAACUAGUAGAAUUCAUGAUUUAAAUUCUUAUUGCUUUUUUAUUCAUGGUUUUUGGUGAACCUGGACAUACCUAUGCCCGUUUAAAACUUUAUUUUAUGCUUUUCCAGAACAUGGGUGCAAUAUGAGGUAUUUAUUUAUAUUUAUAUAUUUCUUAUUAUUAAGUGGUUGCAUUAUUGUGUGUGUCAUUUUUAUAUUAGAAUUCGAUUUUGUCUUGUUGAUAUAGUUUCUCAAAAUGGGUUAUCAAAUGACUGGCUUUCAAACUAGAUAUUUAUUGUUUCUAAUAGAUAAUGCCAACUUUAGUUCCAUUGUGAACAGGAAUAACUAUACAAUUUGAAGAGCCUUCUUUAGAAUGCUAAUAUUAGAACCUACUGUUGAAUGUUUUAAUUGGAUAUUUGAAUGUAUUAUAUUUUUACUGAAUUGCUUUCUUUUAUCGCAAAAGAACCAUUUUUGUGGACAUUACGAUACGGCUAUGACAUAUAUCAAAUUUUUUGGCAUGAAUCUUUUGGUUGUGCCAUUUAUAUUAACAGUACUUUAUGGUCUAAAAAUUUUUCCAAAAUAAACAUUUUUAUUCUGCA